UACGAGGGGGGCAAGCGUUGUUCGGAGUUAUUGGGCGUAAAGGGCGCGUAGGCGGUGCGGUAAGUCACCUGUGAAACCUCUAGGCUCAACCUAGAGCCUGCAGGCGAAACUGCCGUGCUUGAGGGUGGGAGAGGUGCGUGGAAUUCCCGGUGUAGCGGUGAAAUGCGUAGAUAUCGAGAGGAACACCUGUGGCGAAAGCGGCGCACUGGACCACAUCUGACGCUGAGGCGCGAAAGCUAGGGGAGCAAACAGG
rnacentral:rRNA from 1 species